AAAAUUGUGUUGCAGCCUCACUCUGUCGUUUCAUUUCAUUUUAUUAGGUCUUUCAGCAAAUUAUUGUUAUCAUGAUGCACCAUGUAGCCUCUUGCAUUUUCUAGUUUUAGUUGCAAGAAAAUCCUGAGUUAAGGUUGUCCUGGUGCAAAAUCUAGCCACGGCAAUUAAAAUUCGUGUUUUUAGAUGCGUGAUUUUUCGCCCAAUUUGCAAUUUUUUUGCCACAAAAUUGUUUUGCUAC
rnacentral:lncRNA from 1 species